CCCUUAGAUGUUCUGGGCUGCACGCGCGCUACACUGAAGCUAUCAACACGUUUUCCCUCCCUGAGAAGGGCGGGUAACCUUUUGAAUCAGCUUCGUGGUAGGGAUCGGGGCUUGCAAUUGUUCCCCGUGAACCAGGAAUUCCUAGUAGACGCGAGUCAUAAGCUCGCAUCGAUUAAGUCCCUGCCCUUUGUACCCACCGCCCGUCGCUACUACCGAUUGAACGUUUUAGUGAGGCAUUUGGACCGACGCAUCUCAGUUUAACCGCUGGUUUGUGUUGGAAAGACUUCCAAACUUGAGCGUUUAGAGGAAGUAAAAGUCGUAACA
rnacentral:rRNA from 1 species